CCCUGAAGAACAGGGUGGUGGAGGCUGACAGGGACGUGUGUGCUCAAGUAUUUCCUGGAAUGGACAUCCAGCCAGGCCUUCAUUUUCAUCACCUGCAUCUGAUCUUUCCGAGGUGGAUGGCCGUGCUUGCCUUUGCGCCCUGAGCUGGUGGAGUUAGGAAACAUUCAGAGCCGCUUGCCAGACCUAUCGAGUCAUCCUGACUUCAGCACCUUCUGGGGACUGGCAGGGACCUUCUCAGAUGUGCUUUCAUAUCAGCUACAGCUGGUGAUUACUAUUCCAGGUAAUCACUUUCCACCGGACCUGGACACCAGAAACUCCUCAGUAACUACACUCUCCUCUCCAGGGUUGACUUGAGACUCAGCUGCAGCCCAAAUAUAAUUAGACAGCCUUCUGAGACCAUCUAGGUGCGAGACUUUCCUCCUCACACCAGUGCCAAGUUUCCACGUUCAAGAACUUAAACGGCCAUAUAAAAUGCUCUGGCAAGGAUGAGGCCCGAUUCUCAAGUUCCCAAUAUGCUACAGGAUUUGGUCUCCAAAUAAAAGAGCUGAGAUUUGGGGGAAUCGGUACAGCCAGCUUCACGAAGCACUUGCGAUCUACAACACAUGUCUGGGCCUCCUUUAGCUUUUCACUGCUAUGCCAUCCAGUCUUUUUGAUAAAUGUGCCCAAGGACACCACCCCAAAGAACUCGUUUCUCGUGGACCCACCAGAGGAUAAAAUGUUCUCAAUGCCACCUCCUAAGAUAAUCGUCCUGUCCAAAAUGCCCCCUUUUAAUUGGUUGACUGUCCCCUGGGUGUGACUGCACCCAGGGAGUUUAUCCAGGGUGUGUAACCAAGAUACAACAGUUUCCCUGAUUUCUGAGAAUCCUGACAAGAACAGUGAUAUAAAAAGUAAAUUGAACUCUGUCAAAACAUUAAUGUGGCGCUGUGACUUUGCAAUAGAUAGAUAGAUAGAUAGAUAGAUAGAUAGAUAGAUAGAUAGAUCUUCCACUUGGGAAGAUUGGAAGAUUAACCUCCCGGCCCCUG